AAGUAAUGUGAAUUGCAGAAUUCAGUGAAUCAUCGAAUCUUUGAACGCACAUUGCGCCCGUUAGCAUUCUAGCGGGCAUGCCUGUCCGAGCGUCAUUUCAACCCUCAGGUCUCCCUUUAGGGGGAGACCUGGCGUUGGGGAUCGGCCCGCCCAGCGCGGCGCCGUCC
rnacentral:rRNA from 1 species